rnacentral:rRNA from 14 species
CGGCGAGCGAAGCGGGAAGAGCUCAAAUUUGAAAGCUGGCGUCUUCGGCGUCCGCGUUGUAAUCUCGAGACGUGUUUUCCGUGCGGCUCUAUGGACAAGUCCCUUGGAACAGGGCAUCGUAGAGGGUGAAAAUCCCGUACUUGCCAUGGAAGUACCGUGCUUUGUGAUACACGUUCCAAGAGUCGAGUAGUUUGGGAUUGCUGCUCAAAGUGGGUGGUAGACUCCAUCUAAAGCUAAAUAUCGGGGAGAGACCGAUAGCGAACAAGUAC